rnacentral:misc_RNA from 1 species
GAGAAAAUGCAUACUAAAAUCGAUUACAAAGCACAAAAUUGUUGUCCAAAACAUGCUAAAGAGAUCAUAUGCAUACUUUGUCUAGCAUACCCAAAAGUACCUAAAGAAUGAAAAGAAGACCUGCCGGAGUCUUAUAAGGGUAUACAUUGUUCAUACGAACUUCAGAUGACAGCAAUAGUUGACAGCAUCGUAAUCUCUCAACAGAAGAAACCCAACAAAUCCCAAAACACCCAUAUCUCAUCUUAUCAACAUACACGAAGAGAAAAAUAAAGACUUCAUCACAAACAAACAACAAAAUUAAGACAAUAAAUCUAUGGUAUUUAUUGGUGCCAUUUGCGAUCAUAAACCAAUAUCGACCAAGAACUAUACCACAUUUAGCCACAUGAUCCUAUUUCCUGUAUCCCUCUAUGUUUCAUUUAGCAUUUACAGAUCCAAGAGAAGCCAACCCAAAAAGAAAAAAGAAAAACGUGUGUUACCCAAACGGGGGGUUUUAAAAAAAUCCAAAUAAACAAGCAAAAUCAUAGACCCUUCUUGAUAAUCCCUCUCCUAGCCAAGAACCUAGCCACCGGAGGCGUAAGAGCGAUUGUUAUAGGAACCCGUAUUGGGAAUAGUGCCUUGUUACACAACACAGCCAGAGCAAGGGCUCCACCAGCGGAUGAAGCAAGCUCAGCCGUCCGAUUCCUCUUCUUCACCUCCUCUACAGACGUCGAUUUCUCUCUGUCUUCAGUAACAAACCCAUCGUCGGAUUUAACUUCUUGUUGUUGUUGGGAUGGCGGGUUGGAGUGAUUGGAAUCCUUGGUAGAGAUUCCGGGAAGAUGCCACUUGUCGAAAAGCGACUCGACGUCGACGUUAUUUCUGAUGGCGAUGUAGAGGCCAGUGAUUGAGGCUGUAGAGACGGAGAAGUGGACACCUAAAGCUACUUUGCCGUACUUUCUUAGGAGUUCUCUGAAUCGGCCUCCUGCCAUUUGAUUGGCUAUUUGAGUCUGAGGAUUUUGGUUUUCGGUUAGGGUACUUUAGGGGUUUGGGAUUUUUAGACAAGGGCUUCAGCGCCAAGUAGCCCCUAGGUUGUUUUGGAGUUGGAGCUCGUUGACAGGGCAAAGCCCAAACGCCCAAAUGGGAUAUCCUCAAGUUAAAAUAACUUACAAUGGUU